UCUUGGCCAGCCUUCUGAAAGGAAGAUUAAUCCAGGAUGGGAUCAUGAGUUCACAUGUCCGCAUGAUUAAAGGUAUUUUCCGGUAGACGAUGGGGAUGCGUUCCAUUAGAUAGUAGGCGGGGUAACGGCCCACCUAGUCAACGAUGGAUAGGGGUUCUGAGAGGAAGGUCCCCCACAUUGGAACUGAGACACGGUCCAAACUCCUACGGGAGGCAGCAGUGAGGAAUAUUGGUCAAUGGGCGAUGGCCUGAACCAGCCAAGUAGCGUGAAGGAUGACUGCCCUAUGGGUUGUAAACUUCUUUUAUAAAGGAAUAAAGUCGGGUAUGCAUACCCGUUUGCAUGUACUUUAUGAAUAAGGAUCGGCUAACUCCGUGCCAGCAGCCGCGGUAAUACGGAGGAUCCGAGCGUUAUCCGGAUUUAUUGGGUUUAAAGGGAGCGUAGAUGGAUGUUUAAGUCAGUUGUGAAAGUUUGCGGCUCAACCGUAAAAUUGCAGUUGAUACUGGAUGUCUUGAGUGCAGUUGAGGCAGGCGGAAUUCGUGGUGUAGCGGUGAAAUGCUUAGAUAUCACGAAGAACUCCGAUUGCGAAGGCAGCCUGCUAAGCUGCAACUGACAUUGAGGCUCGAAAGUGUGGGUAUCAAACAGGAUUAGAUACCCUGGUAGUCCACACGGUAAACGAUGAAUACUCGCUGUUUGCGAUAUACGGCAAGCGGCCAAGCGAAAGCGUUAAGUAUUCCACCUGGGGAGUACGCCGGCAACGGUGAAACUCAAAGGAAUUGACGGGGGCCCGCACAAGCGGAGGAACAUGUGGUUUAAUUCGAUGAUACGCGAGGAACCUUACCCGGGCUUAAAUUGCACUCGAAUGAUCCGGAAACGGUUCAGCUAGCAAUAGCGAGUGUGAAGGUGCUGCAUGGUUGUCGUCAGCUCGUGCCGUGAGGUGUCGGCUUAAGUGCCAUAACGAGCGCAACCCUUGUUGUCAGUUACUAACAGGUGAUGCUGAGGACUCUGACAAGACUGCCAUCGUA
rnacentral:rRNA from 1 species